GCCGUCGAACCAGUCGCGCCGUCGAACCCGAGCUGCACUCACCGUCGUUCUCACCGUUCUCGCACCACUGGUAAUUUCUUGAACCACCAUUCUGUUCUCGCACCACUGUGAACAAGCCUUGCUGUUUUAAUUUGUUCUAAUUACAAAACUCCUAACUAAAUUUAUGUCAGUUCCAUCAAUUGGUUCCCAAAAAUUGAAUUGUUAUUCUUGCAAGUUCAUAAUGGGCAUAAGAAAAAUGGAAGCCAUACAUACUAGAAUGAAUGAAGGAAUCUUAAAGAGAAAUUUUGAAUAAAGGAUAUUAGGCCACCUUACUGAGGAUGAUCAGUUGGCUUGUGUGGAUUUGCUGAUACUUGUGCUUCUAAUAAUAUUGCAAUUGCAAUGUUCGGGGGAAUUGUAUUAAGAACAUUCAAAUAUCGAUCUGAUUUUUAUUUUUGUUUUUUGACAGAUUUUUUGUAUAUUGCUAUUGUUUUGUAUAUUGCAAUUGCAGUUGUUUUGUGAAUCUGUUUUGUAUAAUGUGGAUCUGUUUUGAUCGCGUGUAUGUUAAUUUAAUUUCAAGUUGUGAAUCUGUUUUGUAUAAUGUGAAUCUGUUGUGUAGGUUUCUUGUUUAAUUUCA
rnacentral:lncRNA from 1 species